rnacentral:pre_miRNA from 1 species
UCUUAUGGAUUAGCAAAGAGAAAGUGGUUUCUACUUGAGAUGGAAUCUACUUCUGGUGAAGAUACUGUGAA